rnacentral:rRNA from 1 species
GACGGGGGAUGCAAGCGUUAUCCGGAAUCACUGGGCGUAAAGCGUCUGUAGGUGGUGAUGCAAGUCACUUGUGCAAAACUCUGGCUCAACCGGAUGAAAGCCAGUGAAACUGCAUGACUAGAGUGUGGGAGAGGUAGAAGGAAUUCCCGGAGUAGCGGUGAAAUGCGUAGAUACAGGGAAGAACACCGGAGGCGAAAGCGUUCUACUGGAACACAACUGACACUGAGAGACGAAAGCUAGGGGAGCGAAUGGG